rnacentral:rRNA from 1 species
CACGGAAUUAGCCGGUCCUUAUUCAUGCGGUACCUGCAAUGCGCGACACGUCGCGCACUUUAUCCCCGCAUAAAAGCAGUUUACAACCCAUAGGGCCGUCAUCCUGCACGCUACUUGGCUGGUUCAGGCUCUCGCCCAUUGACCAAUAUUCCUCACUGCUGCCUCCCGUAGGAGUUUGGACCGUGUCUCAGUUCCAAUGUGGGGGACCUUCCUCUCAGAACCCCUACUGAUCGUAGCCUUGGUGGGCCGUUACCCCGCCAACAAGCUAAUCAGACGCAUCCCCAUCCAUCACCGCUAAACCUUUAAUCGUUAUUUGAUGUCAGCAAACGACGUCAUACGGUAUUAGUCCGUCUUUCAACGGGUUAUCCCGUGGUCAUGGGAAGGUUGGAUACGCGUUACUCACCCGUGCGCCAGUCGUCGUCAAGGGAAGCAAGCUUCCCUCACGUUACCCUGCGACUUGCAUGUGUUAAGCCUGUAGCUAGCGUUCAUCCUGAGCCAGGAUCAAAC